rnacentral:rRNA from 1 species
CCCUUAGAUGUUCUGGGCCGCACGCGCGCUACACUGAUGCAUUCAACAAGCCUAGCCUUGACCGAGAGGUCCGGGUAAUCUUUGAAACUGCAUCGUGAUGGGGCUAGAUUAUUGCAAUUAUUAAUCUUCAACGAGGAAUGCCUAGUAAGCGUGAUUCAUCAAAUCGCGUUGAUUACGUCCCUGCCCUUUGUACACACCGCCCGUCGCUCCUACCGAUUGAGUGGUCCGGUGAGGCUUUGGGAUCUGAGCAAAGAGAGCGUUUCGCUCGUUUUGCCCGGAAAACUCAGUCGAACCUUAUCAUUUAGAGGAAGGAGAAGUCGUAACA